GUUUGAGAGAAGGGAUGACACAGUAGGAUAAGCUAAGCACACUGUUGGUUAUGUGUGCCCAAGCAUUGAGGCAGUCAAAGUAGGCAAAUCCGCUUUGAUAAUGCUGGGAUGUGAUGGGGAGCGAAAUUUAGUAGCGAAGUAGCUGAUUUCACACUGUCAAGAAAAGUCUCUAUCGAGGUUAAAGGUACCCGUACCGCAAACCGACACAGGUGGGUGAGGAGAGUAUCCUAAGGCCAGCGAGAGAACUGUUGUUAAGGAACUCGGCAAAAUGACCCCGUAACUUAGGGAUAAGGGGUGCCACCAUCAGGUGGCCGCAGAGAAUAGGCCCAAGCGACUGUUUACCAAAAACAUAGGUUUCUGCUAAGUCGCAAGACGAUGUAUAGGAGCUGACGCCUGCCCGGUGCUGGAAGGUUAAGGGGAUCUGUUAGAGUAAUCGAAGCAGUGAACUUAAGCCCCAGUAAACGGCGGCCGUAACUAUAACGGUCCUAAGGUAGCGAAAUUCCUUGUCGGGUAAGUUCCGACCCGCACGAAAGGCGUAACGAUUUGGGCACUGUCUCAACAACAGACUCGGUGAAAUUGUAAUUCCGGUGAAGAUGCCGGAUACCUGCGACAGGACGGAAAGACCCCAUGGAGCUUUACUGUAGCUUGACAUUGGGUCUUGGUACUACAUGUACAGGAUAGGUGGGAGGCUUUGAAACCAGGACGCCAGUUUUGGCGGAGCCAUCCUUGGGAUACCACCCUUGUAGUACUGGGACUCUAACCAUAGGCCAUGAAUCUGGUCUUGGGACACUGUCAGGUGGGCAGUUUGACUGGGGCGGUCGCCUCCCAAAAGGUAACGGAGGCGCUCAAAGGUUCUCUCAGUACGGUCGGAAAUCGUACGUAGAGUGUAAAGGCAAAAGAGAGCUUGAUUGCAAGACAUACAGGUCGAGCAAGGAUGAAAAUCGGACUUAGUGAUCCGGUGGUUCUGCGUGGAAGGGCCAUCGCUCAACGGAUAAAAGCUACCCUGGGGAUAACAGGCUUAUCUCCCCCAAGAGUCCACAUCGACGGGGAGGUUUGGCACCUCGAUGUCGGCUCAUCACAUCCUGGGGCUGUAGUAGGUCCCAAGGGUUGGGCUGUUCGCCCAUUAAAGUGGUACGCGAGCUGGGUUCAGAACGUCGUGAGACAGUUCGGUCCCUAUCCGUCGCAGGCGUAGGAAAUUUGAGAAGACCUGUCCUUAGUACGAGAGGACCGGGAUGGACG
rnacentral:rRNA from 1 species